rnacentral:lncRNA from 1 species
CUCGCUCUGUCGCCAGGCUGGAGUGCAAUGGUGCGAUCGUGGCUCACUGCAACCUCCGCCUCCCGGGUUCAAGCGAUUCUCCUGCCUCAGCCUCCCUAGUAGCUGGGAUUACAGGCGUGCACCACCACAUCCAGCUAAUUUUUGUAUUUUUAGCAGAGACAGGGUUUCUCCAUGUUGGUCAGGCUGGUCUCGAACUCCUGACCUCAGGUGAUCCAUCCGCCUUGGCCUCCCAAAGUGCUGGGAUUACAGGCAUGAGCCACCACACCUAGUCCCUGAUUUUGUUUUAUCGGCAAAUUCACUGUUGAGGGUUGGAGCAGCCUGUGAUAUCCGUGUGAGUCCAUUUGUGAAACUGAAACUUUGUAACAAGAACUAAGAUAGUUAUUGAGAAGUGCUUUGAAAAUGAUCCAAGGAAGCUUUCCAAAGUGACUCUGUCCCUGGGAAGGGAGGAAGGGACCACAAUAUGCCUGUAUCAGAUUUCUACUGCUGUGUAACAAAUGACCCCAAAACUUAGUGGCUUGAAACAACAAUGAACAUUUAUUAUUUCAUAGUUUCUGUGGGUCAGGAAUUCAGGAGUGGCUUAGCUGGGUGGUUCUGGCUCAGGGAUUUCAUGGGGUUGCAGUCAGGGUAUCAGCUGGGGUUGUGUCAUUAGAGGCUGAACUGGGGCUGGAGGAUUUACCUCUGAGGUGGUGCACCCACAUGCCUGGCAGGUUGGUGCUGGCUGUUGGUGGGAGGCCUCAGUUUCCCACCACAUGGACUCCUCUACAGAGCUGCUUAAGUGUCCUUACAACAUGGCAGUUGGCUGCUCCCGAGGAAGUGAUUCAAGGAGAGCAAGGCAGGAACCAUGUCUUUUAUGGCCUAGCCUUGGACAUCAUUUCUGCAGUCCUACUGGUUGCCAGAUGGGUCCUAUUCAGUGAAGAGGGGACUCUCCAGGAUGUGACUACUGGGGCUCACUGGGCAGCAUCUCAGAGCUGCCACCAUGCUGCUGCGUGGUUGGCCCAUCUGGAACACUUAGUCUUCAGUCACUUGGUUUGAUUCAAGAACAAAGAGUUAGAAACUCUUCACCUUUUGAAUGCAAGGAAGUAGGCUGACCCCUCAAAGUGUGCCAGACAAGCCAUUUUAAGCAUAGUUGGGUGAGAUGCAAAGAGGAAGCCUGCAUAUUCGCUGCUUACGUGAAAUGUUUGGCGCCUACUCAUGCUUUCUAUCCACAGAGUCUCACUGAUAGUUUGUCAGCCUUGCAUCCCAUCUGCCCCAUGUGGGUCCUGUGAAGCUGCUGGUCAACCUAUCCCCUGGCUUUGGGGGAAUGCAACCCAUGUCUGGCCAACUGUGGUGCCCCAUUUCCCAGUCUAGAGUUGUUGGUCCAAGAGGAGGCUCUCUCUUACUCUGAAAUCAUGAGCUGAGGGUUUACUGUGUAUGCCUGAAGCUAUCAGACAAUGAAGAAAGAAGAGAGAGAAAGAGAGAGAUUUGAGCACCUGGGUCCAGCUAUGACUGAAGCUAGCAAGACACCCAUCUUUGUUCUCUGAAAUUAUGUAAGAAAGUAAACUCCCUUUUUGGAAUUUUGCUUGUUUACUUUUGCUUAAGUUAACUUGAGCUGGAAUUUCAUCAUCACAAUUAAAAACAUCCUAACAACUUAUCCCUUGAAAAUCAUGUGCUUUGCGCCCAGCCAGCCGCCCCGUCAGGGAGGGAGGUGGGGGGGUCAGCCCCCCGCCAGGCCAGCCGCCCCGUCCGGGAGGGAGGUCGGGGCGUCAGCCUCCAGCCCGGCCAGCCGCCCCGUCCGGGAGGUGAGGGGCGCCUCUGCCUGGCCACCCCUACUGGGAAGUGAGGAGCCCCUCUGCCCGGCCAGCGGCCCCGUCCGGGAGGGAGGUGGGGGGGUCAGCCCCCCGCCCGGCCAGCCGCCCCGUCAGGGAGGGAGGUGGGUUCAGCCCCCCGCCAGGCCAGCCGCCCCGUCUGGGAGGGAGGUCGGGGCGUCAGCCUCCCGCCC